AACGCGAAGAACCUUACCUGGUCUUGACAUCCUUCUGACCGGUACGUAAUGGUACCUUUCCUACGGGACAGAAGAGACAGGUGGUGCAUGGUUGUCGUCAGCUCGUGUCGUGAGAUGUUGGGUUAAGUCCCGCAACGAGCGCAACCCUUAUCUUUAGUAGCCAGCAAUACGGUUGGGGACUCUAGAGAGACUGCCAGGGAUAACCUGGAGGAAGGUGGGGACGACGUCAAAUCAUCAUGCCCCUUAUGGCCAGGGCUACACACGUGCUACAAUGGCGUAAACAAAGAGAAGCGAAGCCGUGAGGUGAAGCAAAUCUCAAAAAUAACGUCUCAGUUCGGAUUGUAGUCUGCAACUCGACUACAUGAAGCUGGAAUCGCUAGUAAUCGCGAAUCAGAAUGUCGCGGUGAAUACGUUCCCGGGUCUUGUACACACCG
rnacentral:rRNA from 1 species